UGGGGAAUUUUGGACAAUGGGCGAAAGCCUGAUCCAGCCAUGCCGCGUGAGUGAAGAAGGCCUUCGGGUUGUAAAGCUCUUUUAGCCGGAAAGAAAGAGUUGCAAUGAAUAAUUGUGAUUUAUGACGGUACCGACAGAAAAAGCACCGGCUAACUACGUGCCAGCAGCCGCGGUAAUACGUAGGGUGCGAGCGUUAAUCGGAAUUACUGGGCGUAAAGGGUGCGCAGGCGGUCUUGCAAGUCAGAUGUGAAAGCCCCGGGCUUAACCUGGGAAUUGCGUUUGAAACUACAAGACUAGAGUGCGGCAGGGGGGGGUGGAAUUCCAUGUGUAGCAGUGAAAUGCGUAGAGAUGUGGAAGAACACCGAUGGCGAAGGCAGCUCCCUGGGUUGACACUGACGCUCAUGCACGAAAGCGUGGGGAGCAAACA
rnacentral:rRNA from 1 species